rnacentral:rRNA from 1 species
UGGCGAACGGGUGAGUAACACGUGAGUAACCUGCCCUUGACUCUGGGAUAAGCCUGGGAAACUGGGUCUAAUACCGGAUAUGACUGUCUGACGCAUGUCAGGUGGUGGAAAGCUUUUGUGGUUUUGGAUGGACUCGCGGCCUAUCAGCUUGUUGGUGGGGUAAUGGCCUACCAAGGCGACGACGGGUAGCCGGCCUGAGAGGGUGACCGGCCACACUGGGACUGAGACACGGCCCAGACUCCUACGGGAGGCAGCAGUGGGGAAUAUUGCACAAUGGGCGCAAGCCUGAUGCAGCGACGCCGCGUGAGGGAUGACGGCCUUCGGGUUGUAAACCUCUUUCAGUAGGGAAGAAGCGAAAGUGACGGUACCUGCAGAAGAAGCGCCGGCUAACUACGUGCCAGCAGCCGCGGUAAUACGUAGGGCGCAAGCGUUAUCCGGAAUUAUUGGGCGUAAAGAGCUCGUAGGCGGUUUGUCGCGUCUGCUGUGAAAGACCGGGGCUCAACUCCGGUUCUGCAGUGGGUACGGGCAGACUAGAGUGAUGUAGGGGAGACUGGAAUUCCUGGUGUAGCGGUGAAAUGCGCAGAUAUCAGGAGGAACACCGAUGGCGAAGGCAGGUCUCUGGGCAUUAACUGACGCUGAGGAGCGAAAGCAUGGGGAGCGAACAGGAUUAGAUACCCUGGUAGUCCAUGCCGUAAACGUUGGGCACUAGGUGUGGGGGACAUUCCACGUUUUCCGCGCCGUAGCUAACGC